GCUGACGACCACAUGGGCCCCGUCCUGGGCCAAACGCCGGGCGAUGGCGAAGCCGAUCCUGUGAGCAGAAAGAGACAAAGACUGCUAAGGCCUGUGCAGGGGAAGAGGUCGACAGUAUGAGCUCUGAAGUUAAGACUGCCCGGGUUUGAAUUCUGGCUCUUUCUCUAUAUAACCCCUACGUGUGCCUACUAUGUGUAAAACAGGCUUAAUGGCAUGGCCAUUUUUGGCAUUCCUUUACUUGUUUUUAUUAUGACCUGGACCACAGCCUCAGUUCCCAAGAACUGACAUCACUUUCUACAGUUCCCACCAUGGGUGACAGGCUUCAUCCCCUCUUGGGACUGAGAGGUGCCACUUCGGAUAAACCCUUUGGACUCCUAACUCCAAUCAGGUGUCUGCUUUGUUGAGGACUCACAGACACAGUCUCCUUUCUUCAAGAUCUUUACAAUGCAAGACCUCACUAACACACAGGGAUGGUCUCCCAGAGGGUCUGUGCUGUUCCUUCACUCAGAACAUCAAGAUGCACUGAAGUAAGGAUCCUCUAUUCUACAGUUCCUGCUAGCUGAGCUAUUCCAUGGGGGCUUCAGCAGGAAAUUCCAAGGUUGGCUUUGACAAGCUAAGGCCGGCUGGUGGAGCACAUCGAGUUCUGGAGGUUCAUGUGUGUUUUCAUGAAGAUCUGUCUGCCCGUAGCAGAUAAAGAGUUGUUGCCCCACUCCUCCUGGGGUCUUCUAUUUUCCUGGGAGGAAUUUCUGGAUUAACUGAACACACACACACACACACACACCCUUUUGAAGCAUCAACAGUAAUUCUGAGUUCUUAGGGACAAUGCAGAUUAAAUCCACAAUAAGAAAGACAACUAUGGCCAGGUGUGGUGGCUCACGCCUGUAAUCCCAGAACUUUGGGAGGCUGAGGCGGAUGGAUCACCUGAGGUCAGGAGUUAGAGACCAACCUGACCAACAUGGAGAAACCCCGUUUCUACUAAAAAUGCAAAAUUAGCCGGGCAUGGUGGCAGGCGCCUGUAAUCCCAAAUACUCGGGAGGCUGAGGCAGGAGAAUCACUUAAACCCGGGAGGCAGAGGUUGCAGUGAGCCAAGAUCGCGCCAUUGCACUCCAGCCUGGGCAAGAAGAGCAAAACUCCAUCUCAAAAAAAAAAAAAGAGUACUAUUGAUCCAGAGGUGACCAGACUAGCCUCACUGGAGAUAAUAGGUGACAUUAUUAUGCAAAGUGGUUUCAGUUCCCUUGUCUUGUUUUUGGAAUAGUAUAAGAGGCCUACAAUACGAAUAAAUAAGGCCCAUCACAAGCCUCACCAAAGGACAAAACUAAUCCACUUCUGAAGAAGGCUCUUUGUUGGGCCAGAUCAAAUCCUUGGACAGAACUGUACUCUUAAUCUCUGUAGUGAAAGUGGGGGGUAGUUUAAGAAUUUAUUAACCUUCUACCUUGAGCAAUCCCUCAGAAGUAAGAGGUGUCAGGCCUCUGAGCCGAAGCUCAGCCAUUGUAACCCCUGUGACCUGCACAUAUAUGUCCAGAUGGCCUGCAGGAGCCAAGAAGUCUGGGGCAGCUGAAAAACCACACAAGAAGUAAAACAGCCAGUUCCUGCCUUAACUGAUUAACCAACAUUACAACAUUCCACCAUUGUGACCUGUCCCUGUCCUACCUUAACUGAUCAAUCGACCUUGUGACAGUCUUCUUCUGGACAAUGGGUCUUAUCAUCUCCCCACCAUGUACCUUGUGACCCCCUCCUCUGCUAACAAUAGAUAACCACUUUUUACUGUAAUUUUCCAUUACCUACCCAACUCCUAUAAAGCAACCCCUUCCCCAUCUCCCUUCACUGACUCUGUUUUCAGACUCAGCCCACUUGCACUCAAGUGAAUAAACAGCCUUGUUGCUCACACAAAGCCUGUUGGUGGUCUCUUCACACAGAUGUGCUUGACAAAAGGGAAGGGUGGAUUUGUCCUUCUGGUUACAUAUGUUCUGCUCACUCAUUUUGAAUUUAAUUAAACAAGGAUUGCCCUUACCUUUUCAUACUUUGUAAGAAACCAUAAAUACUUAUGCACCAUGAUUUUUUUAAAGAAACACUUUUUAUUUUGAAGUAAUUAUAGUCUCAUAGGAAGUUGCAAAAGUAGUACAUAGAGUCCCUGAGUACUCUUCCCCCAGUGGUGACAACUGUAGUAUAAUAUCAAUUCUGGGAAAUUGACAUUGGUACAAUACCAAAUAUACUAUGCCUUUUUCUCUAAGGCAUGAUGUUGCAGUAGCAUCCUUGUACAUGUAGCUAGGAGAACUUGUACUAAGCCCAGAUAAAUAGUUGAAGUACAAGGGCAAGGAGUGUGUCUUUGAUAUUUUAAUAGAAAUCACCUAUUGCCCUCUAGAAAAGCUGUACCCUUUUCCAGUGGCAGAGAACCUUCCUGAAAGGCAGUCCUGUGUAAUGGUGUCCAUUUCAUCACACCCUUAAAACACUCAGCUUUAACAAACAUGCAGAUUUUUGCUGAUGUGGGAGAAAAUAUUAAUUAUUAAUGAUAUUAAGGUGAUUAUCUUUUCGUAUGUUUAUAGAUAUUUGUAUUUCUUUUUAAAUGAACUGCUCAUGACCUUUGUCUACUUUUAUUUGGGUUUACUUCUUUCUCAUUUAUUCCUAUAAACUCUUUAUAAAAGGAAAUUAACCAUUUGAUUGUCAUAUGUUGUGAAUAUUUUUACCAUUUUGACUUUUGAAUUUAUGUCUUUUUAAUGAAUUGUAGAAGUUUAAAAUCUUUAUGGAAUAAAUUUAUUUAGUUUU
ensembl:lncRNA DHRS4-AS1 DHRS4 antisense RNA 1